rnacentral:rRNA from 1 species
UACGAAGGGGGCUAGCGUUGCUCGGAAUCACUGGGCGUAAAGGGUGCGUAGGCGGGUCUUUAAGUCAGGGGUGAAAUCCUGGAGCUCAACUCCAGAACUGCCUUUGAUACUGAAGAUCUUGAGUUCGGGAGAGGUGAGUGGAACUGCGAGUGUAGAGGUGAAAUUCGUAGAUAUUCGCAAGAACACCAGUGACGAAGGCGGCUCACUGGCCCGAUACUGACGCUGAGGCACGAGAGCGUGGGGAGCAAACAGG